rnacentral:rRNA from 1 species
UAGGGAAUCUUCCACAAUGGACGCAAGUCUGAUGGAGCAACGCCGCGUGAGUGAAGAAGGUUUUCGGACCGUAAAGCUCUGUUGCUGGUGAAGAAGGAUAGAGGUAGUAACUGGCCUUUAUUUGACGGUAAUCAACCAGAAAGUCACGGCUAACUACGUGCCAGCAGCCGCGGUAAUACGUAGGUGGCAAGCGUUGUCCGGAUUUAUUGGGAGUAAAGCGAGCGCAGGCGGAAGAAUAAGUCUGAUGUGAAAGCCCUCGGCUUAACCGAGGAAUUGCAUCGGAAACUGUUUUCUUGAGUGCAGAAGAGGAGAGUAGAACUCCAUGUGUAGCGGUGGAAUGCGUAGAUAUAUGGAAGAAUACCAGUGGCGAAGGCGGCUCUCUGGUCUGCAACUGACGCUGAGGCUCGAAAGCAUGGGUAGCGAACAGGAUUAGAUACCCUGGUAGUCCAUGCCGUAAACGAUGAGUGCUAAGUGUUGGGAGGCUUCCGCCUCUCAGUGCUGCAGCUAACGCAUUAAGCACUCCGCCUGGGGGAGUACGACCGCAAGGUUGAAAC